AGCUAGUAGGUUGGCUUAGAAGCAGCCAUCCUUUAAAGAGUGCGUAACAGCUCACUAGUCGAGGAUUCUCGCGCCGAAAAUGUAACGGGGCUAAAGCACAUCACCGAAGCCGCGGGACUUUCGUUUUAACGGAAGUCGGUAGGGGAGCGUUGCUAGCGCGUUGAAGUCAGACUGUGAGGUCUGGUGGAGUGCUGGGAAGUGAGAAUGCCGGCAUGAGUAGCGACAAUCCUGGUGAGAAUCCAGGACACCGAAAGUCCAAGGUUUCCUACGCAACGCUGAUCGACGUAGGGUAAGUCGGGCCUAAGCUGUAGCGCAAUAGCGAAAGCGAUGGACAACGGGUCAAAAUUCCCGUACCACCGUUAUUUCGUUUUAAAGUAAAGGGGGGACACGGACAGGUAGGCGGAGCGUGCCCAUCGGACAUGGCACGUUUUCUGUUGUAGGCCAAGCUAAGAUAGGCAAAUCCGUUUUAGCGUUAUGAGCUGAGGGCAGAGAAAACUUCAGGGCUUAUGCCCAGGGGAAUUCCGUUGAUCCUAUGCCGUCAAGAAAAGCCUCGUUACUAGAAAUAAUGGUGCCCGUACCGCAAACCGACACAGGUGUGCAGGGGUAAAUGUCCCCAGGUGAACGAGAUAACCCUCGUUAAGGAAUUCGACAACUUGACCGCGUAACUUCGGGAUAAGCGGUGCCCGUAGGGUGAAAUCUGCUUGCCAGAUGGAGCCUUGGCGGGCCUCAGUGAACAGGCUCAAGCGACUGUUUAUCAAAAACAUAGGUCUCUGCUAAGCUGAAAGGCGAUGUAUAGGGGCUGACGCCUGCCCAGUGCCGGAAGGUUAAGGGGAUUGGUUAUUUUGGUUUCGACCAAAAGAAGCUGAGAACCGAAGCCCCGGUGAACGGCGGCCGUAACUAUAACGGUCCUAAGGUAGCGAAAUCCCUUGUCGGGUAAGUUCCGACCCGCACGAAUGGCGUAACGACUUGAGCGUUGUCUCAACGAGGGGCUCGGUGAAAUUGCAUGGCCGGUAAAGAUGCCGGCUACCCGUGACAGGACAAAAAGACCCCGUGGAGCUUUACUGUAGUUUGGCAGUGGUUCGGGGUUGCGGAUGUGUAGGAUAGGCGGGAGACUUUGAAACUUCAGCGUCAGCUGGGGUGGAGUCGCCCUUGAAAUACCGCCCUUCUGUGAUCGUGAUCCUAACCCCAUUAAAAUUGGGGGACCCUGCCUGAUGGGCAGUUUGACUGGGGCGGUCGCCUCCUAAAGAGUAACGGAGG
rnacentral:rRNA from 1 species